rnacentral:lncRNA from 1 species
AUGUUGUAUUUUAAUUACAAUGAGAUGGCAUAUUACCUGACCCGCCUAAGAUAUUCUAGCCCGUCUUGUGGUGGGCCCGAAUCAAAAUCAGGUUCCCCAGUGACAUAAAGCGCAGGCCUUUGGAUGCUAACAUAUUCUGAAUCACUGCUAUCUUCGUCUUCGUAGCAAUAUUCCUCUCCAUCAAAAUCAUCGACGUUAACACCAGAUAAAUCAUCCACUUGGUUCAUAUUCUGCAAUUUGGAACUAACGUUUUCAGACUCGUCACCUGAAAGGCUAUCAGCAGCAACACCCUUUUUGUUGGCAAACUGAAGCCGAGGGUCAAAACUCACAUAAUUCCCCUCGUCAUCAUGCUUACAACCCGUCAAAUUAUCGUACUCCUUCGCCACAGCUGAUCCAAGCCCACAGUAAACCUCAAACCACUUCUUCUUUUGUUGUUCAAUCCCAACAUCCCUCAAACCCUCAAUUUCUUCUCUUGUAUACACCACUCUCACCUUAUCACCUCUUUUAUCACAAUCACACACACUUACCCUUUCGAAAUCAUCAUUCGCCUGCUUUUUCAACCCUUUUCCCCUUUUUCUAACCCUUUUUUCUUUCUUGAUU